rnacentral:rRNA from 1 species
GACGAACGCUGGCGGCGUGCUUAACACAUGCAAGUCGAACGGAAAGGCCCUGCUUUUGUGGGGUGCUCGAGUGGCGAACGGGUGAGUAACACGUGAGUAACCUGCCCUUGACUUUGGGAUAACUUCAGGAAACUGGGGCUAAUACCGGAUAGGAGCUCCUGCUGCAUGGUGGGGGUUGGAAAGUUUCGGCGGUUGGGGAUGGACUCGCGGCUUAUCAGCUUGUUGGUGGGGUAGUGGCUUACCAAGGCUUUGACGGGUAGCCGGCCUGAGAGGGUGACCGGCCACAUUGGGACUGAGAUACGGCCCAGACUCCUACGGGAGGCAGCAGUGGGGAAUAUUGCACAAUGGGCGGAAGCCUGAUGCAGCAACGCCGCGUGCGGGAUGACGGCCUUCGGGUUGUAAACCGCUUUCGCCUGUGACGAAGCGUGAGUGAGGGUAAUGGGGAAAGAAGCACCGGCGAACUACGU